rnacentral:rRNA from 1 species
GAUGAACGCUAGCGGCAGGCCUAAUACAUGCAAGUCGAACGGAUAUAUGUUUUUCGGAAUAUAUAUUAGUGGCGCACGGGUGAGUAACACGUACAUAACCUGCCCUCAAGCGGGGGAUAGCCUUGGGAAACUGAGAGUAAUACCCCAUAGAAUUAUUGGACGGCAUCGUUUGAUAAUUAAAACUACGGUGUUUGGGGAUAGAUGUGCGUCUGAUUAGCUAGUUGGUGAGGUAACUGCUCACCAAGGCGACGAUCAGUAGGGGGCGUGAGAGCGUGGCCCCCCACACGGGUACUGAGACACGGACCCGACUCCUACGGGAGGCAGCAGUAAGGAAUAUUGGUCAAUGGAGGGAACUCUGAACCAGCCAUGCCGCGUGAAGGAUGACGGCCCUCUGGGUUGUAAACUUCUUUUGGAUGGGGCGAAAAAACGGGAUUUAUCCUGGACUGACGGUACCAUCAGAAUAAGCACCGGCUAACUCCGUG